UUGUUGAAGACCCCUAUGAAUGUUUUAUAGUUAGGGACUCUGUCACCAGUGGGAGCUGAAUUCUUCCAGGAGUAGCAAUCCUUCAGCAGCAGAGCAGAGAGUGCCUAAGCUUUUAGGAGGCUGGCAUCUUGUCCUGAAUGCCUUCAUUUGCUUCUUGAAAGACUAAGUGAGCAUAAUAAGUGGCUGAUUUCAACAAGACUGAAGAAAAGUUAACCACAGCAACAAGGACAAAGCCUUUCUCGAAGUCUCAAAAACAGAAGAGUAUGUUUGACAAUGCUGGGUAUUGGUAACCUUAGAAGCACCACAAAUAUAACCAGUCCUGUUCUUUUUGAGCACUGGCACUUGAGGGUUCCCUUAUCGUCUUCUGUUAAGUUACCUGCUCCCUGGAAAUAUUGCAAUAGGUACCAAAGGCUUUACAAAGUGUGGAGACUGAUCUAUCUUGAAGGACAACUUUAAUUUCAUACUCUUUACCGAGGAAAACAUUGGCUGCCUUGACAUAAAGUUCAAUUUUUGUGUUGAAGUUGUCAUUUUUGGAUUUUUCUCUGCCAGUCUGGAUAAAGAUCUCCUCACUAUAUGUCCUUAAAUAAGAUUAACUUAUACUUGCAAAAAAGACUAUUUCAUAAUAUACCUUUUAUGCAGCUCUUGACUGUCUGCAUUACAGAACAUUCUAGACAGACUAGAAUACACAGUACUGCCCAAAAAACUACUCAUCCUACAGCAAAAAUGAAAUAUUUUUGACCAAUCUGAUUUUUUUCCAUUCUUCAUUCCUUAAAACAACAAGUGGCAGCAGUGCCACUUAGUCUAAUAGUUUUGAGCUACAAUGGUUGAGAACUAAGAGUUUCUUUUCUAGACCUCCUGUAUUUUCACUUUCUAGUUCUCUUUAUUUCUACUUAUAAAUAAAAAGGUGGACACUAUAAAAUAAAAAAGGUGAUACUGUAAAAAAUUAGAGUUGUCUGGGUAGGGAAAUGGAAUGUCUUUGUGUUUGCUUUGAUUGUUGGCUGUUUUAAAUGUCUUUAAAUAUCGAACUUCUUGUUACUUCCAUUUCCAUUUGAAAACUGGGGAGUGGAGAAAUUAAACAGCCCACAAGUUUUCCUGAUUCUUUUACGUUUAUUUUCACUUCCAAGAUUUCCUUUGAUUUAAUGUCAUUUUGAUCUUUUGAAAGAAUGUAAAGCAAAAACAUUAAUCUUGAAGUACACUUUAAAUAUUUGAAGGCAAGUGCAUGCUGUAUUCUUUUCUGGUGAUAUUUGGAAUUCCACCGUAGUGAACGUCUUUCUGAAAAAUGUAUGGAGUAUAACAGUACAUCAAUGUCUUAAAAUGUAACUAAAUAUGGCUUCCCAUGUGAAUGGAACUUAAAAUUAGAAUGACACUUCUGUGAAUGCAGAUCCUGUUCCCAAGGGAAGAUUCCACAGCAUAUAUUUAUACAGUAGAUUAAUUCAUCCUUAGAAUCUGUGCUGAUGCUUUGCCAGCAAAGUUGAAAAAGGGACAAGAGCUACUGUGAUCCAAGAAUGCCAGCUGGGUGUGUGCCCAGAGCUGGGCUUUGUCACACCCAGGCUGGUCAGCCGUGGCUGAAGAUAAAAAUCAUUAGUAUGUACUGACUAAUGACUGCUACUGCGGGAGAAGUAAAGGCCUUUGUAUUUGAGACUCUAAAGCACUUAUUUUAUUGAAAAGUGACUCAGGCUCUUUGAC